CAACACUGGGCGUCUGCAGUUUGAUUUUCGUUUUGACACGUGCAUUUGAGUUUUUCGUAAAAUUUAACUCCAAAACUUUCAUCAGGAAAUGGGUCGUGGACGACGAGGAUCUAAGCGUGGAAAUUUCAAAAACCAUGGAUCACGUAACUCAUCUUCACGUGGUCGAGGCAAUUUCAAAAACAAACGAAAAUUCAACAGAGAUGGAGACAGAAAAAAGGAUGCUGAAUCAGAUAAUAAAAGGCAGAAGCUUCAGCCCGAAAAAGAAAGUGAACCGCUUGUAGAGGAAUCGUCGUCAAGUAGCGAGUCAGAGGAAGAAGUGAAGCCUUAUACCCAACUCCUGUCGAUGUUUAAAUCUGGUAACAGGGCACAGCAAGUUUUGACAUCUGAUGAAGAGGAAUCAGAAGAUGUUGGUUCUGAAGACAAAUCUGAAGAAGCUGAUAGCAGAAGCGAAGGGGAUAGUGUUUCUGAAUCAGGAGAUGAAGGUAUGGAUGAAGAUGAUAUAGAGGAUGAAGAUGAUGAAGAAGAAGAUGAUGAAGAAGAAGAAAGAGAUUUACUCGGAGUUCAAGAAGCUGAUGAAGUUGAAGAAGAUCAUGAAGAACUAGACGAAGAAGAGCAUGAAGAUGAAACAGAGGAAGAACCUUCUGGUGAUGAAGAAGAAAUGGGUUCAUCAACUGACCCAUACCACCUUCACUAUGAAAGAGAAAUGAGUGAAUCUCUUUUAGAAACUUUAACAUCUCCGAAGCCUUAUCAGACUCAGGAACUAAAUUGGAAAGCACUUGGAAGAAUGGUGAUCCAUCUACCAGCAAAAGUUGACAGGAAAAUGGAGAAACCUAAACCUGUACUGUUAGGUGAAACAACAGAAAAAUAUGUGAUUCCUGGUACACUGCCAAUACUGAAAACUGGAAUCCCACUAGUAGAUUAUGGAGUUAAAUCACAAUUAUGUACCAACCUUGACAAGCGACCACUCUCUGAUAGUAGCACCCAGACGGCCGAAGAACUGCUCUCUCCUUUGCAGCAUGAGAUUUUCAGUCUCGCAAACGAGUAUCGCGAUAUAUAUUAUCCUGAAAUGAACCACUUAAAUAGCGAUGAAAUUCGAACAGUUUAUUGCCUCCAUUCCUUGAAUCACGUUAUGAAGUCAAGAGAUAAAGUUUUGCUUCAUAAUGCUAAAUUAAAAAAGUAUAAGGAAAAUGGCCAACCGACUGACGAUGUCGAAUUUCGAGACCAGGGUCUAGUUCGCCCUCGAGUUCUAAUUAUCGCUCCGCUGAGGAAUUCUGCAGUUAAGAUUGUGGAGAAAUUGGCCUCACUGCUUCUUCCUGUGAAAGGGCAAAUUAUCAAUAAGGACCGCUUCUAUAAAGAGUUUGGCGAGGAGAAGGAUGAAGAGGACAAAAAAGAGAAUAAAAAGAGUUACAAGCCUGAAGAUUACGAAGCUGUUUUUACAGGAAACACUGAUGAUUCUUUUCGAAUAGGAAUUUCGGUUGCUAAACGUACUCUAAAGUUAUAUGCUGGAUUCUACAAGGCCGAUAUUCUUAUCGCAUCUCCGCUGGGAGCACGAACGCUACUUGCUGAUGAUUUUGACUUUCUUUGUAGCAUAGAAGUACUUGUGAUAGACCAAACGGAUAUUCUCUACAUGCAAAAUUGGGAUCAUGUGCUUCAUAUUUUUCAACACUUGCACCUUCAACCACGAGAACAACAUGACACCGACUUGGGACGUGUUCGUCUUUGGGCGCUAAACGGUUACUCCGCUCACUAUAGACAGAAUUUAAUUUUUAGCAGCGUAGCACUUCCGGAAGCUGCGGCGCUCUUUUCUCGCCGUGGAACAAACUUUGCCGGCAAGGUGCGUGUAGAAAAUGUGGUUUUACCCUCAGCAACAACCGUUUGCCGUGUUCUUGUUCAACUACCUCAAGCAUUUCAUCGAUUUCCAACGCCAACAGCAGCUCAGUCAGCCGACGAUCGUUUUCAUUUCUUCACCAAAAAGAUUCUUCCGCAGUACCGCGAUCUGCUAAUGAGCAACACGCUGAUUUACAUUCCUUCGUAUUAUGAUUACGUAAGACUAAGGAAUCAUCUUCACAAAGAAGAAUACAACUUUGGACAAGCUUGUGAAUAUACACCAGACGGGAAAUUGGCCCAAGUUCGGAAUCGCUUCUUUCUUGGGAAGAAGCGCUUGCUGCUGUAUACAGAGCGCCUUCAUUUUUACAGGCGACUUACCAUGAAGGGAAUUCAUCACGUCGUUUUCUACCAGCUACCAACGUUUCCAAAUUUUUAUCCGGAGCUUUGCAACCUCCUCCAGGAUGCAUUUCAAAAUCCAAAAUAUCGAGGGGAUGGCAGUCAAACUUGCACAGUCCUAUAUUCAACUUAUGACGCCCAGAGACUUGCGGCAAUUGUAGGAAGUCAACGGGCGGCUGAAAUGUUGACUUCAGAUAGACCUGUACACCUUUUUGUUAGUGGAGGAAGUUGACCAAAUGCGCCUAUUCUUUCGUACCUGACACGUGGAGAGUGCACGGCGUCCUAAAUCCGCUUACGUGAGAUGUAUAAGAUGCUACUGAUGUACGAUAACCGUUAUUGUGUUAAGCUUAGUAUAUAUUAGGAGUCGAUUUCUGAUAACCUUCGGCUUAUUCGUGUGAACUCGCUCAAGGCAAUUCACAAACACGAAGAAACCGAUGUGGAACUCAACCGCAUCUAGAUCGCUGCCUGAUUUCGUUCUUUAUUCGUGCCAAGUGUGAUGACUUAAACGAAGCGUUAAAAAAACUCUUGAAUCAGAUCAAGGGUAAGAUUUCUCCAUGUCCGGAAAGUCUCCCAGCUUAUUAGUGCACCUUAAAAACGAACAAAAGAUGGGUUGUUUAGGACAAGGCUACCAGAGGGCUAUAAACUUGCGAUUCGUUAGUAUUCUCUAGUAUGUAUUCCGUAAGUUAUGACGGACAUUAACAAUUGAAAGUAAAUAUAAUAGGCAGUCAUGUAGUCAGUUGAUUGGAAAACUGAAACAAACCACAAAAUAUCAUUAAAUCAUUAAAAAAAGCUUCUAA